CGAACGAAAAAGCCCUUCGGGGUGGAUUAGUGGCGAACGGGUGAGUAACACGUGGGCAAUCUGCCCUUCACUCUGGGACAAGCCCUGGAAACGGGGUCUAAUACCGGAUAAUACUCCUGCCUGCAUGGGUGGGGGUUGAAAGCUCCGGCGGUGAAGGAUGAGCCCGCGGCCUAUCAGCUUGUUGGUGGGGUAAUGGCCCACCAAGGCGACGACGGGUAGCCGGCCUGAGAGGGCGACCGGCCACACUGGGACUGAGACACGGCCCAGACUCCUACGGGAGGCAGCAGUGGGGAAUAUUGCACAAUGGGCGAAAGCCUGAUGCAGCGACGCCGCGUGAGGGAUGACGGCCUUCGGGUUGUAAACCUCUUUCAGCAGGGAAGAAGCGAAAGUGACGGUACCUGCAGAAGAAGCGCCGGCUAACUACGUGCCAGCAGCCGCGGUAAUACGUAGGGCGCAAGCGUUGUCCGGAAUUAUUGGGCGUAAAGAGCUCGUAGGCGGCUUGUCACGUCGGAUGUGAAAGCCCGAGGCUUAACCUCGGGUCUGCAUUCGAUACGGGCUAGCUAGAGUGUGGUAGGGGAGAUCGGAAUUCCUGGUGUAGCGGUGAAAUGCNCAGAUAUCAGGAGGAACACCGGUGGCGAANGCGGAUCUCUGGGCCAUUACUGACNCUGAGNANCNAAAACGUGUGGAGCGNANANGAUUAGAUACCCUGGU
rnacentral:rRNA from 1 species